UACCCCGUGGUGUAAUGGUAACACGACUGACUCUGAAUCAGUUGUUCCUGGUUCGAGCCCAGGCGGGGUAGCCA
rnacentral:tRNA from 1 species